GACGAACGCUGGCGGCGUGCUUAACACAUGCAAGUCGAACGGAAAGGCCCUGCCUUUGUGGGGUGCUCGAGUGGCGAACGGGUGAGUAACACGUGAGUAACCUGCCCUUGACUUUGGGAUAACUUCAGGAAACUGGGGCUAAUACCGGAUAGGAGCUCCUGCUGCAUGGUGGGGGUUGGAAAGUUUCGGCGGUUGGGGAUGGACUCGCGGCUUAUCAGCUUGUUGGUGGGGUAGUGGCUUACCAAGGCUUUGACGGGUAGCCGGCCUGAGAGGGUGACCGGCCACAUUGGGGCUGAGAUACGGCCCAGACUCCUACGGGAGGCAGCAGUGGGGAAUAUUGCACAAUGGGCGGAAGCCUGAUGCAGCAACGCCGCGUGCGGGAUGACGGCCUUCGGGUUGUAAACCGCUUUCGCCUGUGACGAAGCGUGAGUGACGGUAAUGGGUAAAGAAGCACCGGCUAACUACGUG
rnacentral:rRNA from 1 species